UACGAAGGGGGCUAGCGUUGCUCGGAAUCACUGGGCGUAAAGCGCACGUAGGCGGAUUGCUAAGUCAGGGGUGAAAUCCUGGAGCUCAACUCCAGAACUGCCUUUGAUACUGGCGAUCUCGAGUUCGGGAGAGGUGAGUGGAACUGCGAGUGUAGAGGUGAAAUUCGUAGAUAUUCGCAAGAACACCAGUGGCGAAGGCGGCUCACUGGCCCGAUACUGACGCUGAGGCGCGAAAGCGUGGGGAGCAAACAGG
rnacentral:rRNA from 1 species